rnacentral:rRNA from 1 species
AUGGUUGGGCCUUUGAGGACUGGCAGGAGUGGAUUUACCCAUGUGCUGGUAGCAGUCGACAAGUUUACCAAAUGGAUUGAAGCCAAACCCAUUAAAAACCUUGAAGCAAGUACAGUUGUAAGUUUCAUCAGAGAAUUGACAUUCAGAUAUGAUGUUCCACACAGCAUCAUCACUGAUAAUGGGUCGAACUUCGAUUCUGACGAGUUCAGAGCUUUUUGUGCUUCACAAGGCACGAGGGUCGACUACGCUUCAGUCGCCCAUCCUCAGUCAAAUGGGCAGGCUGAAAGAGCAAAUGGAUUGAUUCUCAAAGGACUGAAACCCCGGUUGAUGCGUGACCUCAAGCAUGCAGCAGGUGCCUGGGUCGACGAACUUCCAUCAGUACUUUGGGGAUUGAGGACAACUCCUAAUAGGUCGACUGGACGAACUCCAUUCUUCUUGGUCUGCGGAGCUGAAGCUGUACUCCUGAGUGAUUUGCUUCACAAUGCACCCCGAGUCGAACUUUUCUCAGAAGAAGAAGCAGAACAGGCUCGGCAAGAUGCAGUCGAUCUCCUGGAAGAGGAAAGACAAAUGGCCUUGAUUCGGUCAACCAUUUAUUAG